UCCCUUCCACAAUGUAGAGCCUUUGUUGUUUUGCUCUUUGUAAUAAAUCUCGCUGUUGCUGAGUUUUUGAGUCUGCCCUGCCUUUAUGAGUUGUAACACUCACCGUGAAGGUCUGUAGCUUCACCCCUGAGGCCAGUGAAACCACGAACCCACCAGGAGGAAUGAACAACUCCAGACGCGCCUGCCUUAAGAGCUGUACCACUCACCUUGAAGGUCUGCAGUUUCUCUUCUGAAGCCAGCGAGGCUACGAACCCACCAGAAGUAAGAAACUCUGAACGUGUAUGAACAUCAGAAGGAACAAACUCUGGACACAUCACCUUGAAGAACUGUAACACUCACCGCGAGGGUCCACGUCCUCAUUUUUGAGAAUCCCAGUGUGCUCAUCCCAUCUGUGACUCCUGGUCACCGACACAUAAAGUGUAGCACACUGCCAAGCAGCACCUAACUUUCAGAUUUCAUGGUGAACUUGUCCGUGUGGGAAAAGGAGUCCUCGCAACUACUGAGGAUGCUAUUGCUUACUUUGGAGGCAAGAAAUUAUUCUAAACCUAAUUAAUCCACCGCAUCAUAAAAACUUACACCGUUGCUGUCUGAAUUUGUCUAGAAGAGACUGCUGCACAAGUAUUUUCUAAGAAUCGCUUGAGAACCUGCUAAGAUACUUCCAGGCCCAGAUAAUUUAGGUUGUAAUGCAAGAUUAAGAAACUGAUGUACAGGAGAAAAACCCAGGCAAUCAGCCAUAAUUUGGCUACACUUUUUAAGAAAAUGUUAUCUAGAUAUAUUUCUCAUUAGAGCUUACCAUGCUUUAAUGUAUCUCAAUA
rnacentral:lncRNA from 10 species